GAUUAACGCUGGCGGCGUGCAUAACACAUGCAAGUCGAACGAUGAAACUUAAAUGAUUUCUUCGGAAUGAACUUAAGUGGAUUAGUGGCGGACGGGUGAGUAACGCGUGAGUAACCUGCCUUACACAAGGGGAUAGCCGUUGGAAACGACGAAUAAUACCCUAUGAAACUAUCACUUCGCAUGAAGCGAUAGUCAAAGUGUUAGCGGUGUAAGAUGGACUUGCGUCUGAUUAGCUAGUUGGUGAGAAAAAAGCCCACCAAGGCAACGAUCAGUAGCCGGCUUGAGAGAGUGUACGGCCACAUUGGGACUGAGACACGGCCCAGACUCCUACGGGAGGCAGCAGUCGGGAAUUUUGCACAAUGGGGGAAACCCUGAUGCAGCGACGCCGCGUGAUUUAGAAGGCCUUCGGGUUGUAAAAAUCUUUUGUAUAGGAAGAAAAUGACAGUACUAUACGAAUAAGGUCCGGCUAAUUACGUG
rnacentral:rRNA from 1 species